rnacentral:rRNA from 1 species
GUCCACGCCGUAAACGAUGAGUGCUAGGUGCUGUGGGUAUUGACCCCCGCGGUGCCGCAGCCAACGCGUUAAGCACUCCGCCUGGGGAGUACGGCCGCAAGGCUAAAAACUCAAAAGGAAUUGACGGGGGCCCGCACAAGCGGUGGAGCAUGUGGUUCAAUUCGACGCAACGCGCAGAACCUUACCUGGGUUAAAAUCCACCAGAAGCUUGCAGAGAUGCAGGGGUGCCCUUGGGGAGCUGGUGAGAAGGUGCUGCAUGGCUGUCGU